UACAGAGGGUGCGAGCGUUAAUCGGAAUUACUGGGCGUAAAGCGUGCGUAGACGGUUAUUUAAGUCGGAUGUGAAAGCCCCGGGCUCAACCUGGGAAUGGCAAUGGAGACUGCAAGGCUAGAGUUUGGCAGAGGGGGGUAGAAUUCCACGUGUAGCAGUGAAAUGCGUAGAUAUUGGGAGGAACACCAGUGGCGAAGGCGGCUCACUGGACCGGAACUGACGCUGAGGCGCGAAAGCGUGGGGAGCAAACAGG
rnacentral:rRNA from 1 species